UACGUAGGGUGCUAGCGUUGUUCGGAAUUAUUGGGCGUAAAGCGCGUGUAGGCGGCAUGGCAAGUCGGGUGUGAAAGCCCUCAGCUUAACUGAGGAAGUGCGCCCGAAACUGCCGUGCUUGAGUGCCGGAGAGGGUGGCGGAAUUCCCCAAGUAGAGGUGAAAUUCGUAGAUAUGGGGAGGAACACCGGUGGCGAAGGCGGCCACCUGGACGGUAACUGACGCUGAGACGCGAAAGCGUGGGGAGCAAACAGG
rnacentral:rRNA from 1 species